GUGUCAGCAGCCGCGGUAAUACGAAGGGUGCAAGCGUUAAUCGGAAUUACUGGGCGUAAAGCGUGCGCAGGCGGUUUUGUAAGUCUGACGUGAAAUCCCCGGGCUUAACCUGGGAAUUGCGUUGGAGACUGCAAGGCUGGAAUCUGGCAGAGGGGGGUAGAAUUCCACGUGUAGCAGUGAAAUGCGUAGAGAUGUGGAGGAAUACCGAUGGCGGAGGCAGCCCCCUGGGCCAAUACUGACGCUCAUGCACGAAAGCGUGGGGAGCAAACAGGAUUAGAAACCCCGGUAGUCC
rnacentral:rRNA from 1 species